AAAAAAACAAAAAAAAUUCGGUGCCUCAUGCUGGAAUCGAACCAGCGACCUUCUGUUUACUAGACAGACGCUCUGCCACUGAGCCAAUGAGGCGCUGGGUG